rnacentral:rRNA from 1 species
CCUACGGGAGGCAGCAGUGGGGAAUAUUGCACAAUGGGGGAAACCCUGAUGCAGCAACGCCGCGUGAGUGAAGAAGGUGUUCGGAGGGGAAAGCUCUGUUAGCAGGGAAGAGGAAGGACGGUACCUGCAGAGGAAGCAAAGGCUAACUACGUGCCAGCAGCCGCGGUAAGACGGAGGUGGCAAGCGUUGUUCGGAAUAACUGGGCGUAAAGGAUGCGUAGGCGGUUAAACAAGUUAUAUGUUAAAUAUAUCGGCUUAACCUGUAGAAAGCAUAUAAAACUGUUUAACUAGAGUGCAGGAGUGGUACGUGGCCUUCCUCGUGUAGCGGUGACAUGCGUCGAGUUUAG